UCUGGCCAGAACACAUGCCACUGAAGGAACGAUUUAUUUCCUGAAACCAUGCUGCUUUCAGCAGUUUCAAACAGCUUUAAAUUAUGUGUUUUCUUGCUCCAUUCUUGGCUCUUUUAUAUGUCAAUUUCUUCAGAAGGAGACUAGUUGACCAGCUGACUACACUAAUGAAAGACUCUCCUAAAAGGAAGUAAAACAAAAAUCUUCAAAUCUACAAGAAGUUCUCCAUUAGCUUUGUGUUUUUCUCUAAGGAAAUUAUUGCUUUUUAAUCUGCCAUUCAUCUCAUCCACAGAGGAACAAAGUGGAUUUUCAGGUCAGAUACCUCUCUUACAAAUCAAUAAGACGUUGUUGAAAAGUUGGAAUUUGAAAGGUACGGUACAAAUUAUACGUAUGUGACUCCUGUGUAAAUGAUGUACUUAAGUUUGUGCAAUAUUGAGAGAUGUUUGAACCCCGGUGGGUUCUUGGCUGGCUGGACCCUACAAGUGAAAGAAAUGAAGUCAUAGAGAUUGCCAGUUUUUGUCAAGGAGGUGUGUAAGAUGUUUUUGUUUCAGGUGCCUUGUUCCUUAAGGUAACGUAUAUCAGUGUACAUGAAGAAACUGGGUCAUACUCUAUUAGGUUUUGCAGAAAUAUAGUAAGCAAAAAGUGGAUGUUCUAACAGGCUAUCGAGAUUGAACUGUAAGGCUGGGAGUACUUGGGAUGCAUGAACAAGACUCGGCUGUAUUGUGGGAAUUAGCUUUGUAUCAUGAUAAUGCAGAUGCUUUUUUGGAAUUGAUCUGAAAUAUAAAUAAUUGAUUUUUCAAAAGUAAAGCUUCUAAAAAUGAAAGGAAGAAGUCUCCUGUUGAAACUUGACAAGGAAUAAAAUAUUUUAACUGAGCUCCUAAACUGGUAUUUGAGUAAUGGCAGUUAUCACAAAUGGAUCACUUCAAAGACGUACUCUAGGCUGGCCAAGAAAGCAUCGGGCCACUCUGUGGCUUUUUUUCCCCAUGCAGUAUAAGCUUCAAAAACUGUCUAUUGCCAGGCUUAACUUUUAUGUGGACUGAGAUAAUGGGAGCUGGCUACUAAUAGUGAAGCACUAAAUGUCCUUCAUUUCUCCUGAUCAUUUGUACUUGCUAGGCUGUAGCCAGCUUGUGAGGUGUUUUGGCUGUGGAGAUAUUUCUACACUGUGACGUUUGUUUCCAUCCUGAUUGAAAAUUAUACUAAUUAAAGCUUGUUCCCUGGUUUUCUGCUCUUCAUAAGUGCAGUGAUUCUGGAGUAGAUUAAUGACAUAUAUUUUGAAAAAUGCUGAUUAUCAAGUCUGAUUUUUCUUUUUGUGCCAAUGUGUUGCUUCUGACAACAUCUUCUGAUCGGAACAAGACUCUGUACAAAAAUCUUUA